rnacentral:rRNA from 1 species
CACGUAGGGUGCGAGCGUUGUCCGGAAUUAUUGGGCGUAAAGAGCUCGUAGGCGGUGUGUCGCGUCGGCCGUGAAAACCUGCAGCUUAACUGUGGGCUUGCGGUCGAUACGGGCAUCACUGGAGUUCGGCAGGGGAGACUGGAAUUCCGUGGUGAUAGCGGUGAAAUGCGCAGACUAUCAGGAGGAACACCGGUGGGCGAAGGCGGUUCUCUGGGCGAUGAUC